UCUGCGCGUCUCACUCGCCCACGGCAAGCCUGGAGCUCGGGCCGCAUGCACAUGCCCGGUCCCGGGGCCGAGGCUCCUGCUCAGGGCCCUGCUUUCUUGUGAAGAGAUGCUGUGAAUGGCCGGCUCGCUCUCUCUCUCCCUUCCCUCCUUCCUUCCUUCCUUUCUUCUCAGUCCCAGCUGUUCUCCAGAUUUGACGCGUCGCGGGAAGCCUGUUGCAUACGCCGUGCAGGCGCCUGUGUGCGGGUGUCCCCUCUGUGCCAAUCCACGCUGCCGGGCACCUGCCAGGACGAGGGUGAGCUCGGGCGCUGGAGAGCACUGAAGUGCUCUGUUGCUUUUUAGCUUCGUAGACGCACUUGUGUUCCGCAGCCCUCAGUGUAAUUCGUGGAUGUGUACUUUGGGCUGAAGGCUCAUAAUUUCUUCUUCUGGAGAGUGAGUGAGGGCGCGGUGCCCCCGAGCCCUCUGCAUCUUUAUCCUGCGUCUGUCUCCUCCGCAUGUCCCGAGCACCACCGGGAUGGCGGUGCUGCCAGCGCCCAGCAGGGCCCCUCGGCCCAUCGCUGCCCACAUGCUGCGGCCAAGGCUCAGUGGUGCUCACCUGACUUGGCUCCAUGCCCAGGGGACCUCCUCAGCCCUGGAGCCGCUGCAGAUUCCAAAGGCUGAGCUUUCUAGAAGGGACUGUGGGCGCAUAGCGUCGGUACGGGUGUUUAUAACAGUAAUUACUAUUUUACUCAGUGUAGUAACUCUUCUGCGUGCACACUCAAGUGUGCAUGUGUGAGAAAGAGCUCUGUGUGCCAACUUCUAUUUGGACCAAAUCUACUAAUUAAAUAAGUUUAAUCCAACACCUAUUUAUUAAGCACCUGCUGCACACACCUGCCAGGCUCUAGGGACACCAAGGUCAUGGGUCGGGGACCCAGCCUGCAGGAGUCAUGCGCAGUCCCCCAGGGGAGACCCGCAAUGUGAACAUCGAAGCAGCACAGGGCAGGCUGUGGCGUGCCCUGCGAUCGUCAGGUGCUCUGGGCUGUGGGCCCCCCGAGCAAAGAGUCAUUAAUUUUUACUAGUGAAAUUGAAGAGGGGUUUGCUUAGGAGCCAACCUGCAGAGCUGGGACUGAUGCGGUUUCUGUCAGUAGCAGUGGGUCUUGGGUGGCAGAGGGAGCAGGGCUGGGGGUCGCUGCCAUCUAUGGAAGUCCUUUGUGCCCUCGUUGGUGGGCGAUGUGCCAGAUCACGGUUCCUUCCCCUCCCAGAGGUGUCAGACCCCAUCUGCAGGAAAAUGAGACACACAGGAGCCCUGCCGCUCUCACGAGGGGCUGCGAGAGUGCAGAGCGAGUCUGGAACGUGUGCAGACACACACGCGUGUGCAUAUGAGAGCAGCGUAUAUGUGAGUGGCGGGGGAGCAGGGAAGACACCGAGCAGGCAGCAGCGACUGUGGGGAGGUCAGUGUGUGCAGAUGGCCUCAGUGCCGCUGGUUAGUAAACCGAGGGGUGGAGCUCAGAGGAGCAGGGGUGCUGGUCAGCUGCCCCAACUCGCACCUGUGUUCAGAUGCCCCGUCCAGUGUUCCUUCAGAGGAGCGGGCACCCCUGUCUCUGGGUGCUUGUCAGGAAAUGAAUGUCAGUGAAAUGUUCAGUCUUGCUCACACUCCCCUGAUUCCAGUCCUAUCCUCACACCUCCGGUGAUCACACACUUGGUGGUCACACCCAUGAUCGCACCCCGUGAUCACAAUCCCAUCCUCACACCCCGGUGAUACACUUUUGGUGAUCACAUGCCAGUGGUCAAACCCCUGGUGAUCCCACCCCCCCCGUGAUUGCACCCUGUGAUUGCAUCCUUGUGAUCACACCCCCGUGAUCACACUGCCACGUCUGCACCCCUGUGAUGACACCGCCAUGAUCACACCCCAGCUCACACCCCCUACAACUGCCCCCUGUGGAAGGGGAACUUGCUAGGAAGGAACCGUUGAUAUAUAAGCGCAUCGGGGGAAACGGUCUUCCGUUUCCCUCUUCUGAAUGCGCUGCUAUUGUUGAAAGCGUUUCUUGAAUCCUUGUGUCAUCCCUUAGGUCACUGUACAUGUUUGCUGACGUAAAGGUGAGAGGGAGCUGUGGUCCACCGCAGCUACAGGAACAACCCAGACAGACCCUGUGUGCCUGUCACCCAUCUCCCCCGGUGGCGACACAGUAUAACCCCUCCGCACGGUCACCGCUGGGGAUGGGGUGUUGAUAGGACCCGCCGCCUGUGCACCCUGAGUUCUCUACCGUGUCAUCCUGUGUGUUUGUUGCUGCAGCCAGCACCGUAGUCAGCGCACAGAAACGGGAGCCCUCCUGCUGCCUCUUUCUGGCCGUAGCCCAGUCCUCCCGUUGCUCUGUCUUGGAUCCCCAACAAGCCUGGGUCUGUGCUUCUUCCUAUAGACUUGUCCUUUUGAGAAGCUUCUGUGAAUGGAAUUGUGCACUCUGGAGGCUUUGAUUGUGGCUUCAUGCACGCACUGUGAUUCCCGGGGGUCCUACCUGUUGUGCCCUGUGUCCGGCGGUGGCUCAUCCCUUUAUUCUGAGUAGUGGUCCAUGGGACCACGCAACAUGUGAGGACCCAGUCUCUGCACCGUCACUGGCCUUUGGGACUGUCAUGUGUGGUUCUUUUCAAGUGUCUUCAGCGACGUCUUAUUAUCAGCUCAUCUCGUGUGAAGUCAUGACCGUGCUGGGCACUCUGCUGUGUGUGCUCAGACCCCCGUCACUGAACUUCCUCCCGGCUGAGGCCUUGUCUGGCGACCGGGGCGCCCUCAGCACCAAGGACAGUGCCGGCCACAUGCCUCUGCCGUGCGAGGGGGCCGGGACCAGGAGCCCUCCUGAGGUUUGCAGACACUGCCUCCUCCCCACGCGACCUGCUGAGGCAGGGACUAUGAUGGAGACGGUAACUGCCCUCUGGAAGGCAGGAGCAUGCAUCCAGCCUCUUCUACUCAGAGAAGUCAUUGGGAUUCAGAGCCAGGCAGGCCGACCCCAGGACACCACACGUUGCCCAGAAUUGCCUCCCUGCUGAGUGAGUGAGCGAAAUGAGCCACUUGGGGUCGUCACACUGCGAUUUGGAAGUUGUUUCUGUUGCUGGGAGUGUAAAUACAUCUUCACCAGAAUAAGUUCUGAGAACGUCCACACAUCUUCUAGCUAGUCCUUCAUGGACGACAAGUGUAGGUAAGUCGUGCUUUCCAGGGAAUUCCUCAUUUUGCAAGUAAUAAAGCCCCUUUCAUUUCUCGCGCGCUUUCUCCCUUCCCCUGCGGUUUGUUCCUGCCGUCAGCCUGCGGUGAGUGUGGGAGAACUUGACGCUGUCCCCGUGGGCACGUGCCUCCUUCCUUCCUGUGUGGUGGAGAGGGCUCUCUGGUGAGAACUCCAGCUCCACACUCGUCAGGGGCCGCCGUGUCCCACACUAAGUGGCACACACCUGUUCCUCAGUGGGCCAGUCAAUAGCUCAUAGCCUUCUUCCUCUCUGCCUGUUGCUUGGAGGGAGUGGCACCGCAGCCCACCUCGCCUGGGACUCCGGAGUGCCCGCGCUGAGGUCAGUGCAGCCCACAGCCAAAGGCAGCCCCUGGGGAUGCUUUGACCAAAUUGUGAAGUUUUCCGCGUCUUCCUGUAUCUCGCCCUAUUAUACUUCAGGCUGUGUGUGUUAGCUGCCUUGUAUUUUUCUGGAGUGGGAUGAGAUCUACAUAACUCAGUAAAAUGAAUAAAAAGCCACCUUACUGUCGUAAGAAAUGAGGUAAAAGAUUGAGUCCCCUGCCAUGCGUGUUGUUGGCCCUUCUUCCCUUCCCAGGGUGGGUAAUUGGGGGGGGGACUCUUCACAGCUGCCCCGUGUGUGUGCAUGUGUGUGCGCAUGCGUGUGUGUGCACACGCGUGUGUGUGUGUGCGUGUAUGUGGUCAUUCUUCUCUGAGUCAGCGACUAGACCCACAGUGCAGGGCCUUCAUCUGCAAACACAGCGUGGACAUCUGUAGUGGAGUGACUGCAGCCCUAGCAUGUCUUCCUGGGCCUCCUGUCCUGUUCUCACCAGCAUCCUCAGGAGCCCUGGCAGUGGGGAGGAGUAGGGAGUUCCCCUCGUGUGGGCCUGCUGGGCCGUUGUGAGCCGUCGUCUGCCCUGCAGCAUCAUUGCUGUUGGCUCAGCGCUGGUGAGCCACGCGGGUCCUCCCGGGCUUCUCCACCUGCUCUUGGUCAUGGUGAGCCCCUCACGCCCCUGCUGCUAAGGAGUAAGCAUCCUAGCUGCGGAUCGACACUGCCUGCCUGUGAGUAGAAGCCCGAUAAAGCAGUAGAAGCUCUGGUGUGCUCCUGGCGUGCUCUGGCUCCCGGGGGUGCGUCCGGGGUAGUCAUGCCAUCACCUGCUUUCACGGACAACGAAAAUCUCCUUUAAAGGAGAAGGCACUAAACUUAGUAACCAGCCACUUUCCAGGGCUGGCCGGGAAAUGAAUGACAGUCCCUGCACUCCUAGAGUUCUGACAGGUGGACGGGAGGGAGCGUCACUGCACUGCUGAGUGCGCUUGAUAGCGACGGGGUGACCGGCUGACCUCCACUUCCUGAGCCGGCUCUCUGCCAAGUGCAGGUGGAGGUAAGCGUCACCUGGAAACGCCAGGCAGGCUGAGCCCCGUGGGCGUGCGCACUCCCAUCAGGAGGAGGAGAGCGGGUGUGAGCCGUGCUAUUGAGACAGGAAGGGGAGCAGAGGAAGAGCCGUGUGUGAGGCCACCGAUUCCGGAGGGAGUUUGGCCAGAAAAGAAAGGAUUCGGCCUCAUCUCUCUUUUCCCGUUUAUUUUUUAGUCCAAUCUGAUGGAGGAGUGAAAAAAAUAAAUUCGAAAGUAUCCUUAACACCUUACAGAAGCUAUCUUUGAGGACAAGGAAGAAAUUUGAAAUUCAGAGAUCUGUGGCACGGUUUUACAGCCAACCGUGCUGGAGACUUCUCAGUGAUCGUGACGGUUUAUGAUCGUAGACUUACCAGAUCUCGUAAGGCUUGUGUCCCUGCUUUUUGGCUUUACCAGCCUGGGUGUACUGAGGUGUAAGUUGCUUCCCUGGUUCCUGGCUCGCUACUAACGUCCGGUAGCUGUUCCAGAGGCCCAGAAUGAGCCCCCACCCCUCCUCCUGUGCAGGGAAAGGACCGCCUUACGGUGUUCCAGGACAGUGUGAAGAGCCUUCCUUCCUCAGGUUUGUUCACGUCUCCACCAUACGCCGAGGACGGUUGUCCCGUGUCCCGGGCUCUCGCGCCCUCCGAUGCUGUUACGAUUCCGUGUUAGGGAAGUGGUGAAAAACUAGCGGAGCACGACGUGCAGGCGUGUCUUGCACUAGAAGCCACACGCGGGGUCUGAAGUGUGGUGCGCUGAGUGUAACCACACCCACCACGAGAGAAAUGCACAUCCCUUCUACGGUUUCAGCCCAAGUUUGCGUGCAAAUGCGGCUCAGAGUGUGUUUCCGGCGACCUGCUUACCAACCAGCUGGUGUCUCCCAGAACGUGUGAGUUCACCCAGGGGGCAGCGGUGUGUGCAAGGGACGAGUUUGGAGGAAGGUAGCAUUAGUGCUGUUGGUGAUUGCUUAAACGUGAGGUUUAAAUAAUAUAAAAAGUUCAAACCUGAAGGUGCACUAACUCCAUGCAUGGGACUUUUAAACAUUUUCUCCUGUUUGAAAAAUGGAAUGGGGGAAGAAGAAAGAAAACUUGAUUAAAAAGAAGAGGAAAUGCCCAAACCACUAUUUGGAAUUUGGGUAGACAGUUUAUUCGUUUAUUUAUUUAUUCAAAGAUUUUAUUUGGGAUAGAGCAAGAGAGAGAAAGAGGGCACAAGGCGAGGAGAGGCAGAGGGAGAAGCAGACUCGCGCUGAGCAGGGAGCCCAGUGGACUCAGAACUCUAUUCCAGGACUCCAGGAUCAUGACCUCAGCAGAAGGCAGAGGCUUAAUGACCCAGCCACCCAGGCGUCCCGAAAUGCGCUUUUAUUUAAAGGUUAACUUCGAACUUCCUGGGAAGGCCUGGGGGUUUGGGCUUGCUGUUGCUGGAGCACCAGGUAGGGGCAGCGUCCCCAUGCUGUCCUGCUUGUGCUCCUCCUAAGUCCUUGGAGGAGGUGGUGGUGGGAGCACCGGCCACCACUGGCCAGUGUUGGGGUGGCCUUGGAGGUACAGACCUGUGAACUCUGGGAUGACUUAGGUGGGCCCUCGGGGCCGGCGAGAAUCCAUCACAGAGAGCAUGCUCAGAGCACUCGCCGUGCCCCGCGGCUCCCUCUGGGGCAGAAGGAGGGGAGCGUGCUGAUCUGGUCAGAGCCAUGCCCAGGGAGGGCCAGGCAGUGUGUACAUCACCCACAUGCACCCCAGGGAGGAGCCCGCGGACCGUGAGCAUUUCCUGUCGGGGGAGGCUUCUCAGCGGCUCCGGGCUUGGCGAGCAGUGCUGUGUCUUCUCGUCUCCAACUCAGGAAACGGGCCCCUCUCCGCUUCUGGGCCGUUCUCCUCAGAGUGCUCCUGUCUGUGGAGCCGCACGCGUGCAGCUCGCAGCACGGACUCUGCAAGAGACGGGAGCGUCGGAGAGAAUAUGCCCUCCCCUGUGCCCGGCCUGUUCUUGCUCUGCGCUCUGGCUCUCACGAAUCUGUCCCAGGGAGGGACGUCCGCAUAUGCACAGCCUUUUCAUAACCGGAGGCACGAGCUCGCCUGCCAGGGUGCCAGGCCGUGCACGGACGCGACUCUACCCCCUGGAAGUCCCCACGCGCACCGCCGUCGAGAACCCGUGCGGCGCGGAGCUGGGCAGUGAGCUUCUCGACGUGCUGGUGGGACUUCUAAACUCUCCUUUCGCCGGGAAGAGCGGUCGUGUGUUCCGUUGUGCCUUUUCCAACAGGAAGGAAUCGGCCGGAUUGCCAGAUCACCGUUCGGAAAGAGACACACACGUGAGCUGGGGACUCACGCACUGUACUGCUUUAAAGAGUUUUUCAAAAAUUUAAUUGUAACCAAUGACUUAGUAGACGUGUUUCCUUCUUAAGGUUUUUGCUCUUUCGGUAAAGUAUGAGCCUGAUGAGUUGUCGAAUGCAGUGGGAGCUCGGAGUCCUCGCACAGCUGCUUCCUGUGGGUUGAAGCCUGUCCUCCAGCCGCGUGGGGCUGCUGCCUCAUGCAUAUCGCGACCUGGGGGGCCAGCCUUUCAUGGCACCCCCACUGCCCACCCCCAGCAGCUCAGAGAAUAGGGAAGGCAUGGAAAUGCUGUGGAUUUAAAUUAUUAAAUUUAUAUCGAGGUUGUUUUAAGAAUUUCUGGUGUCCUUUGAGCUGUCCUCACCCCAGGUACCAGCAUCCAGAGUGUGAAUCAUUCAUUUGGAGCCACUAAUCUGGGGAAGAGAGGCUUGUGUUUCGUUUGAUCAGCGUGAACCUGCCGAAUUAGAACCAUCAUUCCUGCCAUUAUGGCCCUUGUUAACUGCCUCACAGAAGUUUAGAUUUUUUUUAUUUGGGUCUAUUUACAGAAACAGCCCUUUGCUUGUGCGUCCCCUCUGCGAUUAUGAAGGGAUAUUGCCCACUCCUAGCAGGUACAUGCUACUUUGUUCUCGACUUGUUAAUGGGAUUUUAUGUCCCUCAAAUUCACUUCACAAGCAGAAAAAUGGAUGACUUUAUGAACGGAGAAAUAAACUUAGUUUGGA